GUACCCGUAGCGUAGCUGGAUAACGCACUAGACUCCGACUCUAGAGACCGUAGGUUCGAAUCCUAUCGGGUACA
rnacentral:tRNA from 1 species